AUUUUGUCCCAUUUUUCUGGGGGUGGCACCUCCUUGCGAAGGAGGUGUGAUCGCUUUGAAUGGCACUACUG